rnacentral:tRNA from 1 species
UGGGGAUACUUGGAUAUUGAGCGGGCUUCUAACUUGCUUCAGGAGCAGUUCGAAUCUGUUCAUCCCCUG